GUUAGAAUGGCAGAGCCUGGUAAUUGCAUAAGACUUAAAUCCUUACCUCCAGAGGUUCAAUUCCUCUUUCUAACA
rnacentral:tRNA from 1 species